rnacentral:snRNA from 1 species
AUGCUCACUUCAGCAGCAUAUAUUCUAAAAUUAGAACAAUACAGAGAUAAGUAUGAUCCCUGUAGAAUGACAUACAAAUUCAUGAAGCAUUUCAUAUUUUU